GAUGAACGCUGGCGGCGUGCCUAAUACAUGCAAGUCGAGCGAACGGACGAGAAGCUUGCUUCUCUGAUGUUAGCGGCGGACGGGUGAGUAACACGUGGAUAACCUACCUAUAAGACUGGGAUAACUUCGGGAAACCGGAGCUAAUACCGGAUAAUAUUUUGAACCGCAUGGUUCAAAAGUGAAAGACGGUCUUGCUGCCACUUAUCGAUGGAUCCGCGCUGCAUUAGCUAGUUGGUAAGGUAACGGCUUACCAAGGCAACGAUGCAUAGCCGACCUGAGAGGGUGAUCGGCCACACUGGAACUGAGACACGGUCCAGACUCCUACGGGAGGCAGCAGUAGGGAAUCUUCCGCAAUGGGCGAAAGCCUGACGGAGCAACGCCGCGCGAGUGAUGAAGGUCUUCGGAUCGUAAAACUCUGUUAUUAGGGAAGAACAUAUGUGUAAGUAACUGUGCACAUCUUGACGGUACCUAAUCAGAAAGCCACGGCUAACUACGUG
rnacentral:rRNA from 1 species